rnacentral:tRNA from 1 species
GACUCUGUAGCGCAACGGUAGCGCGUCUGACUCCAGAUCAGAAGGUUGCGUGUUCGAAUCACGUUAGUGUCA